rnacentral:rRNA from 1 species
AUUGAACGCUGGCGGCAUGCCUUACACAUGCAAGUCGAACGGUAACAGGUCUUCGGAUGCUGACGAGUGGCGAACGGGUGAGUAAUACAUCGGAACGUGCCCGAUCGUGGGGGAUAACGAGGCGAAAGCUUUGCUAAUACCGCAUAAGAUCUAUGGAUGAAAGCAGGGGACCGCAAGGCCUUGCGCGAACGGAGCGGCCGAUGGCAGAUUAGGUAGUUGGUGGGGUAAAGGCUUACCAAGCCUACGAUCUGUAGCUGGUCUGAGAGGACGACCAGCCACACUGGGACUGAGACACGGCCCAGACUCCUACGGGAGGCAGCAGUGGGGAAUUUUGGACAAUGGGCGCAAGCCUGAUCCAGCCAUGCCGCGUGCAGGAUGAAGGCCUUCGGGUUGUAAACUGCUUUUGUACGGAACGAAAAGCCUUCUUCUAAUAAAGGGAGGUCAUGACGGUACCGUAAGAAUAAGCACCGGCUAACUACGUGCCAGCAGCCGCGGUAAUAC